CUAGAAGUUCCUCUAAUUGCAGUGUGUUGAGGUCCUUAGCUUCCUGAAUUGCGGUUACCUUGGCCUCCCAAAUUCUUGGUAGAGACCUGAGAAUUUUUCGCACCAAUUCAGAGUUAGUGUAAGACUUUCCUAAACUCUUAAGCCCAUUUAUAAUUUCAGUAAAAUGAGUAAACAUAUCAGUUAUGGACUCAAUAGAUUCUAUUUUAAACAAUUCAUACUUGUGUACUAAUAUGUUUAUUUUUGACUCCUUAACUUGAUUGGUCCCUUCAUGAGUGACCUCAAGUUUGUCCCAAAUUUCUUUAGCAGAGAUGCAAGUAGAUAUUCUAUUAAAUUCACUUACAUCUAAUGAGCAAUAAAGUAUAUUUAU
rnacentral:lncRNA from 1 species